rnacentral:lncRNA from 14 species
GAUGUUGACACUGCUAUCAAGACCAGAUUUCGCAUCACCGACAGCGAUGCACAGGGAUUACAGCUUGUUGUCAAACAUUCACGAACUUGGGGGUUUGUUCUUGUGUUUUUAAAGCUAUUAACAGUAGAAGUCAGCUGAGGGUGGGCAGUCUACACCACACUUACCUGUGAUCCAUCCUGACUCCGGAUGAUGGAUUGGUUUAAUAAAGAAAACGUGAGUAUUUUUCACAUGGCAACUGUAAAGAGUCCAAAGACAGCACCAGCUCUGCUGUGCAUUGUUGACAGGCACAUAGAGCUUGUCAGCUUAGGUUACUAAGCUGCCGUUGAAACUUCCCCUACUUAAGAAUAAUGUGUCAAUCACUGCACCCUUCUGAAAAGCAAGUGUUUGUUGGAAUGUGUGUAGAGAAACUUGGUGGAGGUAGGUCUGAAUGGCAUUUCUGCAGUUACUCUCCUAGUACUGCAAUGACCACCCACUUCCAGCAGGGAGCUUAAGAAUGCUUGACCUAAUCAUAAAAGACUUUUAAACACCCUGUAUCCAUCCUAUGGUGAUUACGGGUUAAGUGGAGACAAAGUAUAAUGAAGUAGGUAAUACCUGUACUCCUCUUGCCAUCCCCUUUCUUCUCCAGUCUGAAAACUUCUGUAUUGACCAACUCAGCCGGCUUUUGAACCAUCAGCACUACAGCUACUAAGGCCUUUUAUUUUCUAUCCCAUAACAGCCCAUUGAUCAGUCAUCUCUUACAGAUCCAGCCUGUAGCAAAGGCAUUAAUAACUGCUUGUUAACAUAACUCCAUAACACUUUUCUAGUGCAGAAUUUAUACAAUAAUAGCCUGUAGACUGGAGGAAGGGCACUUGACAUUUUAGAAAGCACUUGACAGAGUUUCAAUGUUAAUAUUAAGUGCUUUGCUACUGUAAGUCAUCACUGAGGCUGAUAGAAGAAGGUCACUGAAACGAGAUCACUGUCCUGCUAGCUAAUGAUACUAACUCUGCAGUCAUGCUUUCACCAGGGGAGCUAGUAGAAGAUCCUUAUCUUAGGUUGGAGCAUUUAAUGUCUUCUGAUAUAAUAGAUCCUAUGAACGUAAAACCAACCCAAAACCACACUGAAUCCCUGUUAGGUUUCUUUAGUUUUAAUCUACUGCUGGACAUUAAGGUAGAUGGAACUAGUAGAAAUGUAUUCUAAAAUAGGUGGGUUUCGGAUUUAAUUCUGUCUUAAUUUUAAUUAUUAGAGCAACUGUGUAGGGUACAACCUGCUUGACUACAGCCAGUUUUCCAUGCAGGAUACUUCCAUGCAGUCUGUAAAUAAUGGGCUGCAGAAUAAGGAGAGUGGACCCUACUGAAGUACAUGAGAGUCAUCUGAAACAUCAGCAACAGGAUUUCACAUUCCCCUGUUUCCUCCAUAACAUUUUUCUCCAGGAAUGUUCUGCAACCAAACCAAUUAUCUCCUAUAUCUUGUAAAUGGCUACCUAGAGUUGAUUUGCACUAAUGGGUUACCACAUGGAUGAAUAAUGUUAUGUGGAGAUGGGAGAUUUUUCUCCUUUUAAAUCAUACAAUCAUGAACGGUUUGGGUUGGAAAGGACCUUAAGAUCAUCCAGUUCCAACCCAUCUUCCAUCAGCAGGGACACCUCACACUAACCAUGUCACCCAAGGCUCCAUCCAACCUGGUCUUGAACACUGCCAGGGAUGGAGAAGCCACAGCUUCCCUGGGCAACCCAUUCCAGUGCCUCAGCACCCUCACAGGGAAGAACUUCCUUAUAUCUAAGCUGAACUUCCCUUGUUUAAACCUGAAUGUCCACACCACCCUAAGUUGACCUACUGAGAUUAAAGAAAACACUGUUGUGGCACAGAAAGCGUUUUAGGUACCAUCUGUAUAUGGUGUAUAUAUACUUCCUUAACAAGUUUUGUUUAGAAAUAGAUGCUUUCCAGCCAGGGAUUUACCAAAAGGAUUUCAUAGAAAGCUAGAGAUAACCGCACUAUCAGCCUCUGUUUCUCUACACAGAGGACCAGAACCCAAUGGUGUGCAUUGCUUCCUCUCUUGGAUUUAUGUAUGGCCCAGUGUAUAAUAAAUAAAAUACAUUCUGCUGCUA